AGGAUAAACGCUGGCGGCGUGCAUGAGACAUGCAAGUCGAACGGACGAUCAGGGCUUGCUCUGAUCGUUAGUGGCGGACGGCUGAGUAACGCGUAGGUGACCUGCCCCGAAGUGGGGAAUAACUGCCCGAAAGGGUGGCUAAUACCGCAUGUGGUGGUGUGUUCAUUCACACCAGUAAAGCCGCAAGGCGCUUCGGGAGGGGCCUGCGUCCGAUUAGCUCGUUGGUGGGUAACGGCUCACCAAGGCGACGAUCGGUAGGUGGUCUGAGAGGACGAUCACCCAGACUGGGACUGAGACACGGCCCAGACUCCUACGGGAGGCAGCAGUCGGGAAUUUUGCGCAAUGGACGAAAGUCUGACGCAGCAACGCCGCGUGAGGGAUGAAGGCCUUCGGGUUGUAACCUCUUUUAUCAGGGAAGAUAAUGACGGUACCUGAUGAAUAAGUCACGGCUAACUACGUGCCAGCAGCCGC
rnacentral:rRNA from 1 species